AGAGUUUGAUCAUGGCUCAGGACGAACGCUGGCGGCGCGCUUAACACAUGCAAGUCGAACGUGAAGCUGGAGCUUGCUCCGGUGGAAAGUGGCGAACGGGUGCGUAACACGUGAGCAACCUGCCCCGAAGACUGGGAUAACACCGGGAAACCGGUGCUAAUACCGGAUACCUUCCUCCGAUCGCAUGGUUGGAUGAAGAAAUGGAUUCCGCUUCGGGAUGGGCUCGCGGCCUAUCAGCUUGUUGGUGAGGUAACGGCCCACCAAGGCGACGACGGGUAGCUGGUCUGAGAGGACGACCAGCCACACUGGGACUGAGACACGGCCCAGACUCCUACGGGAGGCAGCAGUGGGGAAUCUUGCUCAAUGGGCGAAAGCCUGAAGCAGCGACGCCGCGUGCGGGAUGAAGGCCCUCGGGUUGUAAACCGCUUUCAGCAGGGACGAAAUUGACGGUACCUGCAGAAGAAGGCCCGGCCAACUACGUGCCAGCAGCCGCGGUAAUACGUAGGGGCCUAGCGUUGUCCGGAUUUAUUGGGCGUAAAGAGCUCGUAGGCGGUUUGGUGAGUCGGGUGUGAAAUCUCCACGCUCAACGUGGAGGGGCCACCCGAUACUGCCAUGACUAGAGUCCGGUAGGGGAGUGUGGAAUUCCCGGUGUAGCGGUGAAAUGCGCAGAUAUCGGGAGGAACACCAGUAGCGAAGGCGACACUCUGGGCCGGUACUGACGCUGAGGAGCGAAAGCGUGGGGAGCAAACAGGAUUAGAUACCCCGGUAGUCC
rnacentral:rRNA from 1 species